CCUGGAUGAGUGUAUGAUGACCUUUUUGCAAAUUAUCCUUAAAGGAUCUUUACCAGAUGUUAACAAUACUUACGAUUCCCACUCAAAGGAUCGAAGACCCAUUGCCCAGGUGAUGUUAGUAGUUUAAUGAGUUCCUGAUACAGCAUUGGUUUUGGUCUUGCCCUGCCUUGAGGUGUAUUGAUAGGCUCAUCCAUAGCUACUGUUAAAAGGUUGCCCACAAACUCUGUUUUCUUAGCAAAGAAAGGGUACUCAUUGCAAGAAGACCAUUGCCCAAUCACCAUUGGUGUUAUAGUGUUUUGAAGAUCACACCCUGUGUACGUAUCUGUAUAUGUAAACAAAAUGUAGUGGCUUUUUGUGUUAAAAUGUAGUAUAGGUGUACUCAUACAAUAUAAAUUUAUUGUAAGUACAUACUAUAAUUAUAUCACCUUUGCUUGCAGCGCUGGUGUCUUGCAUGUAUGCUGUUUGUGCUUUGCAAUCUUGCUGCUGCAACUCCAGGUCUUGUGGUGGGGAAAUUACAACUACUGCAAAGGACGAUAGGCCCAGGGCAAUGUUGGUAGAUCUCACUAGGCGUACAAUUGUCGUUACUUCUGUGCACGACCAGUCCUGUAUGAGAUUUACACAGACUCUUAUACCAACUUGAGGAAAUGAGGUGCCAGCAACGGAAAGUAUCUUCAUCUGCUGUCAAGAAUGGACGGAGUGCCCUUGCACUGGAAAACAACGAAACACAAGCUCUAUUGAAGCAACUGUCCUCAAUUGAGAAAACUGUUAAUUAAUGGAUGUUAAGAUUACUUUUUGAUAAAUAAUUGUAUAAUUAUAGUUACAAUAAUUCCAACAAAAUACAUAAUUACUUGACUGCUUUACAGUAUUAUAAUUGCUAUAUUGGUUAAAAACCUUGAAAUUUCAAGCCAA